GGAGCUGCCACUGGUCUGCUGUUGGCGAGCUGGAGAAGCUAGUGUUGCAAGGUCCCAGGCUAAGGCCACCAGAUUUUCUUUUCUUUUCCUUUGCUCAUCUUUUUCUUUUUGCGCUUCUAGUGUCUCGUGCUGCUGAGCGAGCCUUGUACUUUUGCAGCGUACAUUCCCAGCCCCUUGGCUUUCUGCCAUUGCAUCCUGCAGAGAGCACUCCAAGAAACCGGUGGCCCAAGCCUAACCAGAGGUGUUUCAAAUACAGAUGCUUCAUCAGUUUUGACAAACUUUUAAAAAUAAUGAGGACCUGAAGACCCUACCCUUCUCCUGAUUUAGUAGCUCUGUUCCAGGAACCAGGGGGCCAUAAAACCUUCUGACGUCCCCUUAUCUCCUGGAGCCAUAAAACGAUCCUGUAACUUGUGGUGCCUUCCCCUUUGACAUCCCCCAUCCCCUGGGCUCACAGCCUCUGCCUUUAAAUACUCUUUUUCCCAGCCUCUCGGGGCCGACACCUCUGUCUCCUGCGUGGGAUACGUGUCGGCCCGGAGAUCUCUGUAAUAGGUCUCCAUAAUAAACCUCGCCUUUGCUUAUCACAUCCAAAA